UUAGCUACCUCUGAUGUUAGCAGAUCUCACUCCCAGACUGUGACUGAUAGGAGGUGUCCACAUGGUCUGAUAAACACUCCUAACAACCCCACCACUAGGAGGUGUCCACAUGGUCUGAUAAACACUCCUAACAACCCCACCACUAGGAGGUGUCCACAUGGUCUGAUAAACACUUCUAACAACCAGACCACUAGGAGGUGUCCACAUGGUCUGAUUAAAACGCCUAAUGACCCGACCACUAGGAGGUGUCCACAUGGUCUGAUAAACACUCCUAACAACCAGACCACUAGGACGUGUCCACAUGGUCUGAUAAACACUCCUAACAACCCCACCACUAGGAGGUGUCCACAUGGUCUGAUAAACACUCCUAACAACCCCACCACUAGGAGGUGUCCACAUGGUCUGAUAAACACUCCUAACAACCCCACCACUAGGAGGUGUCUACAUGGUCUGAUAAACACUCCUAACAACCCCACCACUAGGAGGUGUCCACAUGGUCUGAUAAACACUCCUAACAACCCCACCACUAGGAGGUGUCCACAUGGUCUGAUAAACACUCCUAACAACCCCACCACUAGGAGGUGUCCACAUGGUCUGAUAAACACUCCUAACAACCCCACCACUAGGAGGUGUCCACAUGGUCUGAUAAACACUCCUAACAACCAGACCACUAGGAGGUGUCCACAUGGUCUGAUAAACACUCCUAACAACCCCACCACUAGGAGGUGUCCACAUGGUCUGAUAAACACUCCUAACAACCCCACCACUAGGAGGUGUCCACAUGGUCUGAUAAACACUCCUAACAACCAGACCACUAGGAGGUGUCCACAUGUUCUGAUAAACACUCCUAACAACCCCACCACUAGGAGGUGUCCACAUGGUCUGAUAAACACUCCUAACAACCAGACCACUAGGAGGUGUCCACAUGGUCUGAUAAACACUCCUAACAACCCCACCACUAGGAGGUGUCCACAUGGUCUGAUAAACACUCCUAACAACCCCACCACUAGGAGGUGUCCACAUGGUCUGAUAAACACUCCUAACAACCUCACCACUAGGAGGUGUCCACAUGGUCUGAUGAACACUCCUAACAACCAGACCACUAGGAGGUGUCCACAUGGUCUGAUAAACACUCCUAACAACCAGACCACUAGGAGGUGUCCACAUGGUCUGAUGAACACUCCUAACAACCCCACCACUAGGAGGUGUCCACAUGGUCUGAUUAACACUCCUAACAACCCCACCACUAGGAGGUGUCCACAUGGUCUGAUUAACACUCCUAACAACCCCACCACUAGGAGGUGUCCUCAUGGUCCGAUAAACACUCCUAACAACCCCACCACUAGCAGGUGUCCACAUGUUCUGAUUAACACUCCUAACAACCCCACCACUAGGAGGUGUCCACAUGGUCCUAAAGCACACCGUUGCUUCCUUUUUUAUCACAUUCUAAUAAUCAAACUGGUGGGGACAAAUAUGAACUUGCUUGCGAUUAGAGGGUUGGGCCAGUAA
rnacentral:lncRNA from 1 species